AUGGUGGUAACGGGUAACGGGGUGUUAGGGCACGACACCGGAGAGGGAGCCUGAGAAACGGCUACCACAUCCAAGGAUGGCAGCAGGCGCGCAAAUUACCCAAUCCCGACACGGGGAGGUAGUGACAAUAAAUAACAAUACGGGGUUCUUUUGGAUCUUGUAAUUGGAAUGAGUACAAUUUAAAUCUCUUAACGAGGAACAAUUGGAGGGCAAGUCUGGUGCCAGCAGCCGCGGUAAUUCCAGCUCCAAUAGCGUAUAUUAAAGUUGUUGCAGUUAAAAAGCUCGUAGUUGAAUUUCGAGACCGGUCUACUGGUCGUGCUUUUGUACGUACUGGUAUAAUCGGUUUCUCUCUUCUGACGAACUAUAAUGCCAUUAAUUUGGUGUUUUAGGGAAUCAGGACUGUUACUUUGAAAAAAUUAGAGUGUUUAAAGCAGGCUCACGCUUGAAUACAUUAGCAUGGAAUAACGAAAUAGGACGUUUGAUUCUAUUUUGUUGGUUUCUAGGAUCGACGUAAUGAUUAAUAGGGAUAGUUGGGGGCAUUAGUAUUCAAUUGUCAGAGGUGAAAUUCUUGGAUUUAUUGAAGACUAACUACUGCGAAAGCAUUUGCCAAGGAUGUUUUCAUUAAUCAAGAACGAAAGUUAGGGGAUCGAAGACGAUCAGAUACCGUCGUAGUCUUAACCAUAAAUUAUGCCGA
rnacentral:rRNA from 1 species